rnacentral:rRNA from 1 species
CUUAUGCAUGCAGUCGAGCGAUGAGGCUCUUCGGGGGUACAUCAGCGGCAGACGGGUGAGUAACACGUAGGUGACCUACCCUCGAGACGGGGAUAACGGCUGGAAACAGUCGCUAAUACCCGAUAGACUUACCAGGUCAAAGCGGUAAGAAAAGCUACGGUGCUUGGGGAGGGGCCUGCGGCCCAUCAGCUAGUUGGUAGGGUAACGGCCUACCAAGGCGAAGACGGGUAGGGGGUGUGAGAGCACGAGCCCCCACAAUGGGACUGCGACACGGCCCAUACUCCUACGGGAGGCAGCAGCAGGGAAUAUUGCACAAUGGACGGAAGUCUGAUGCAGCGACGCCGCGUGAGUGAAGACGGCCUUCGGGUUGUAAAGCUCUUUUACGGGGGACGAGGAAGGACGGUACCCUGGGAAGAAGUGUCGGCUAACUACGUGCCAGCAGCCGCGGUAAGACGUAGGACACAAGCGUUAUCCGGAGUUACUGGGCGUAAAGCGCCUGCAGGCGGCCUGGUAAGUUGGACGUGAAAGCCCCGUGCUUAACGCGGGGAGGUCGGACAAUACUGCCAAGCUAGAGUGCGUCAGAGGGGAGUGGAAUUUCCGGAGUAGCGGUAAAAUGCGCAGAUAUCGGAAGGAACACCAGUGGCGAAAGCGACUCCCUGGGGCGCGACCGACGCUAAGAGGCGAAAGCUAGGGGAGCGAACAGGAUUAGAGACCCUGGUAGUCCUAGCCUUAAUCGAUGGAUGCUAGGUGUUGGACGUAAGGUUUCCUUGCCGGAGCCAACGGCGAUAAGCAUCCCGCCUGGGGACUACGGUCUCAAGGCUUUAACUCAAACGUAUUGACGGGGACCCGCACAAGCAUCGGAGCGUGUGGUUCAAUUCGAUGCUACACGAAGAACCUUACCUGGGUUUGACAUGUACGUGGUAGAGAAGCGAAAGCGGAUUGACCCUUCGGGGAGCGUACACAGGUGCUGCAUGGCUGUCGUCAGCUCGUGCCGUGAGGUGUCGGGUUAAGUCCCGUAACGAGCGCAACCCUUAUCCUUAGUUGCACGUAUCUAGGGAGACUGCCGGCGGGAAGCCGGAGGAAGGUGGGGAUGACGUCAAGUCAGCAUGGCCCUUAUGUCCAGGGCUACACACACGCUACAAUGGCCGGUACAAAGGGCAGCAAAGUCGCGAGGCGGAGCGAAUCCCAACAAAGCCGGUCGUAGUUCGGAUUGCAGGCUGCAACUCGCCUGCAUGAAGCUGGAGUUGCUAGUAACCGCGCGUCAGCUAUAGUGCGGUGAAUACGUACCCGGGUCUUGUACACACCGCCCGUCACGUCAUGGAAGUCGGUAACGCCUGAAGGCGGUAGC